UCCCCGAUAACUCAGUUGGUAGAGUAGCGGACUGUUAAUCCGUUUGUCACUGGUUCGAGUCCAGUUCGGGGAGCCA
rnacentral:tRNA from 1 species